rnacentral:tRNA from 31 species
GCCUGCUUAGCUCAGAGGUUAGAGCAUCGCAUUUGA